GUCCCAGUGGCGCAGUCGGUUAGCGCACGGUACUUAUAGUGCUGAGGUGUGAGUUCGAACCUCACCUGGGACA
rnacentral:tRNA from 1 species